rnacentral:ncRNA from 1 species
GACAGGCUUGUUAAAGCAUGUCUCCCGAAAGUGGGAACCGGUUUCAGGAUAAAGACAUACGUCGAAACAAAAACUUAAAGCGUGUCGCCCGAGUAUGAUUGAAUGCGACACGCUUUAGUGUUUGAACGAAAGGCCCGUCGUGAGAUGGGCCUCUUAUAUUGCACGGC